CUUUACAUUCUAUCUCUAACACCCAUCCCUGCUUUGCUCCCUGCAACACACAGCCUUUUCCUCAUUCCCCUCAGAGGACCCCACAGUGGCUGAGCUUCCUGUUCUGGAUAUGCCUGGCCGAGAGACCCUGGCCUGACACUGUCCUUCUGGGUUUCAACAUGAAUUUCCGGGAUGGGACCUAGAGCUUAGGGACCCACGUCUCCCUCCGUCUAGUGCCUUAGCCCCUCCUGGGUCAGGCAGCUUCACCAACCAGCUUCUAGGAGGAGAUGCUAUCCCUGGCUAUGGGACAUUCCUUGAGUCAUUCCUCUGUCCGCCCAGUUGACCAACAUCCACAUACACUGGUUGCUGAUGCUGUCUGCAGCAGGAGUUGGGCCUUCUCACAUGGAGCCCCAGGGUGCUGGGGAGGCCACCCCAUGGUGAUUCAGUGGCUGGCACAGACACGCUGGGUCUGCUCAGACACAGCCAGGGCAGUGUCAUUGUCUCCUGGGGAUCAGGAGAGGCCUGAUGGAGGAAGGGACCCUGGGGGACAAGGCCGGGGGAGGAUACUAUUUCCCUGUGGGCCUUAUUCUUCCAUUCAUUCACUCAACAAGUACAGGUCAGGCUCCCGGGACACGGCAGGCACUGAUGGUACUGGGGCACAGCGAUGAACAGAGAGAGAUUUGCUCACUGCCCUCAAUGAUUCAUAGGGCAGCCAGCCUCGCCAGGGUGUCUGUGCCACCCCCCGCCUCCUGCUUUCCCCUUGUCUGCCUGCUCUGUUCAUCCAUCCAUCCACCUGUCCAUCUGUCUGUCCACUUCUGCUGCGCUGACCCCAUCUAGUAACUCACAGUUGGUUUCUUAUGGAGUCUUGGCUCUCUCCAUCCCCCAAGCAGGGUUCAGUCCCUGAGGCAGUUGGGUUCUUGUUCCCAAGUUGAUCACCCACUCCUCCUGGUGGGGACAGGGGUGAGAGUCCAGUGAUCCUUCUGCCUAGAUCCCAGGAAAGGUCUAAGUUCAGAGGCCAGGGACUGGGGCUAGUUCAGAGGAAUGACAAUAGUGAAGACAGUGGCCUGGGCUGGGCACAGAAACCUGAGUCCUUUCCACUUAGUGUCUGGUCCCUUCAUGCCCUGUGCAUGCUCCACCUCCCAGCCCACUCUUGAGUAAUUUUACCCCCACCUUGCACCUGUCUCAGCCAUCAGAGGGAUUCAUGCUCUGACCUCCCUCCGCAUUAGGACUGCCAGGACAGAGCAGCAGUUGGCCCCACUCCAAGUCACUCUAACCCCCUUGCCUUGGGAACCUGUGCAGACCAGCUCUGGGCAAAGCCCCCUACCACCUGGCCCCACCCCCCUGCUUUCCUUCCCUCCCUCUCAGGGGGUCUCCCCAAUGGCUUCACUUAGUCUGGUCAUGAUGGUGGAGCUAUAAGAGACAUCAGCUGGGACUCCCUGAGAUUGGUGUGUGCCCCAGCUUAGGUCAACAGAGUCGUGCCUACUAAGCUCCUCCUGCUCCCAAAUCUGUCCCAUUCAAAGAGAGCCAGGUGCAUUACUGGGGACACCUGAGACAGAACUAACCAACCCUAGUCCUGGGCCAGGGCUGCUGACUGACGGCUCUGGAGGUAAGAGGGAGGCCAGGGAGCCCUGGCCGAGAGUCAGUAGGCUCUGAUUCAAGCCCCAACUCUGCCCUCUCUGGGCCUAUUUCCCCAUUGUACAGUGGGACAAGAGUCCUGCUGGUCUCUUGGGCCACAUCCAGAGAGGCUCUGGAAGUAGGCAGGGUCUCUGCUCCAAGGGAGGGCUGAGGAGAGACCUGAUGCCCACGGGGCCAUCUCUGCAGGUGGCGCCUGGGUGGCAUACGGAGCUACAACCCUGAGCAGAUCAUGCUGAGUGCUGCGGUGCGCCGGACCAGCCGGGACGUCAGCAUCAUGAAGGAGAAGCUUAUUUUCUCAGCAGAGAUCAGCGAUGGUGUAGAGGUCUCCGAUGUGCUCUCCGUAUGUUCAGACAACAGUUAUGACACAUAUGCCAACAGCACCGCCACCCCUGUGGGCCCCCGAGGGGGUGGCAGCCGCACCAAGACCCUCAUAGAGCGGAGUGGGCGUUAGCUGAAGACAUGUCUGUCCCACCUGUACCUGACACAGAAGCUGGGGAGCCUAGGAGAGCUGGUGGAAGUGUGUCUGAACUCGGAGUGCUCUGGGAGCGGGCUCCACAGCCUCCUUGUGGGCUCCAGCCCCUUGUCAGCCGCAGCCGCUCUUGAGGGGGACUCCCUGUCCCCUGAGGCCCAGCUGGGCCAGGACUCCAUCCUUUCAGAUGCCCCUGCAGGCCUGGGGCUCCUUCUGGGAAGUAUGGGGCCUAGGGCUUGGUCCCCCUCUUCUGAGGCCCUCUCCUGUAUCCCGACCUGGAAGCUUUGAUGGGUCAUGGGCCAUGCCAUACCCCCUGUGGCAAUGGAGUGUGCGGAUGCUCACCUGUGCCAUCUGUCCUCCUGUCUGUGCCACGAGGCACCUGAGUUCUCUGCUGUUAUCCUGCCCCAAGGGCCUGGGCCGAGCCUCUACCUGAAGCAACUCUGCUCUUCCUGUCAGUCUCAAAGCACAAGGAGGUUCAGCCCAGGAGGAAGCCAGCUGCAAUGUGGAGACACGUCCUCCUCCCCAACCCACCUCAUGCCACCGCCAACCC
rnacentral:sRNA from 1 species